rnacentral:misc_RNA from 1 species
GCAAACUUGGUCAUUUAGAGGAAGUAAAAGUCGUAACAAGGUUUCCGUAGGUGAACCUGCGGAAGGAUCAUUAUUGAAUAAACUUGGUAUGGGUUGUUGCUGGCUUCUUGAAGCAUGUGCACGCUUAUUCCGACUUUAUUUCACCCACCUGUGCACUUCAUGUAGAUCUGGAAACCAUUCGAAAUAAAACAUUCGGUCAAAGAAUUGCCGUGCCCCCAUGCCAGCUUUUCUGAACACUUCAGAUCUAUGCUUCAAUAUACUCCAUAUAAAGUAUCGGAAUGUAUGAUAGUUUAGGCGUGAACUCGCCUGUACUUUGUUAUAUACAACUUUCAACAACGGAUCUCUUGGCUCUCGCAUCGAUGAAGAACGCAGC